UACGUAGGGGGCGAGCGUUGUCCGGAAUCAUUGGGCGUAAAGCGCGUGUAGGCGGCUCGAUAAGUCUGCUGUGAAAGUCCAGGGCUCAACCCUGGGAUGCCGGUGGAAACUGUCGAGCUAGAGUCCGGAAGAGGCGAGUGGAAUUCCUGGUGUAGCGGUGAAAUGCGCAGAUAUCAGGAGGAACACCAAUGGCGAAGGCAGCUCGCUGUGACGGUACUGACGCUGAGACGCGAAAGCGUGGGGAGCAAACAGG
rnacentral:rRNA from 1 species